GUCGAACGAAGCACUUUAUUUGAUUUCCUUCGGGACUGAUUAUUUUGUCACUGAGUGGCGGACGGGUGAGUAACGCGUGGGUAACCUGCCUUGUACAGGGGGAUAACAGUUGGAAACGGCUGCUAAUACCGCAUAAGCGCACAGCAUCGCAUGAUGCAGUGUGAAAAACUCCGGUGGUAUAAGAUGGACCCGCGUUGGAUUAGCUAGUUGGUGAGGUAACGGCCCACCAAGGCGACGAUCCAUAGCCGACCUGAGAGGGUGACCGGCCACAUUGGGACUGAGACACGGCCCAAACUCCUACGGGAGGCAGCAGUGGGGAAUAUUGCACAAUGGGCGAAAGCCUGAUGCAGCGACGCCGCGUGAGCGAAGAAGUAUUUCGGUAUGUAAAGCUCUAUCAGCAGGGAAGAUAAUGACGGUACCUGACUAAGAAGCACCGGCUAAAUACGUGCCAGCAGCCGCGGUAAUACGUAUGGUGCAAGCGUUAUCCGGAUUUACUGGGUGUAAAGGGAGCGCAGGCGGUGCGGCAAGUCUGAUGUGAAAGCCCGGGGCUCAACCCCGGUACUGCAUUGGAAACUGUCGUACUAGAGUGUCGGAGGGGUAAGCGGAAUUCCUAGUGUAGCGGUGAAAUGCGUAGAUAUUAGGAGGAACACCAGUGGCGAAGGCGGCUUACUGGACGAUAACUGACGCUGAGGCUCGAAAGCGUGGGGAGCAAACAGGA
rnacentral:rRNA from 1 species